rnacentral:rRNA from 1 species
AGUAGUUCGAGUCCUGGCUCGAGAGACGCUGGCGGCGUGCGUAACACAUGCAAGUCGAACGCUGAAGCUGGCUUUGUGUGGUGGAUGAGUGGCGAACGGGUGAGUAACACGUGAGUAACCUGCCCUCUUCUUCGGGAUAACGGUCUGAAAGGGCUGCUAAUACCGGGUAUUCACUGGUCUUCGCAUGGGGGUUGGUGGAAAGGGUUUUUUCUGGUGGGGGAUGGGCUCGCGGCUUAUCAGCUUGUUGGUGGGGUGAUGGCUUACCAAGGCUUUGACGGGUAGCCGGCCUGAGAGGGUGACCGGUCACAUUGGGACUGAGAUACGGCCCAGACUCCUACGGGAGGCAGCAGUGGGGGAUAUUGCACAAUGGGCGCAAGCCUGAUGCGGCGACGCCGCGUGAGGGAUGGAGGCCUUCGGGUUGUGAACCUCUUUCGCCUGUGGUCAAGCCGCAACUGUGGGUUGUGGUGAGUGUAGUGGGUAAAGAAGCGCCGGCUAACUACGUG